GUGUUUAUUUGGGCAGCACAUGUAGUAAAAUUGAAAUAAUAAAGAGAAGAUUAACAUGGCCCCUGUGCAAGGAUGACAUGCAAAUUCAUGAAGUGUUCCAUAUUAAA
ensembl:snRNA U6 U6 spliceosomal RNA